rnacentral:tRNA from 1 species
GUGGGUAUAGCUCAGUGGUAGAGCCCAGGCUUAGCAUGCAUGAAGUCCUAAGUUCAAUCCCCAGUACUUUCA